GUGCUUGCUUUGGCAGCACAUGUAGUAAAAUUGGAAUGAUACGGAGAAGAUCAGCAUGACCCCUGCUCAAGGAUAACAUGCAAAUUUGUGAAGCGUUCCAUAUUUUU